rnacentral:rRNA from 1 species
UACGUAGGGGGCAAGCGUUGUCCGGAUUUAUUGGGCGUAAAGAGCGUGUAGGCGGCCUGAAAGGUCAGCUGUGAAAACUCGAGGCUCAACCUCGAGACGUCGGUUGAAACCAUCUGGCUAGAGUCCGGAAGAGGAGAAUGGAAUUCCUGGUGUAGCGGUGAAAUGCGCAGAUAUCAGGAGGAACACCAGUGGCGAAGGCGGCUUCCUGGCCUGUUCUUGACGCUGAGGCGCGAAAGCUAGGGGGAGCAAACGGG